rnacentral:lncRNA from 1 species
GGGGAUCCCAUCUUCGUGAAUCUCUUGAAUCUCUUUCUUCCUCUUUCAGUUCCAAGCAAUUUUAUGAAAAAUAUCUAGUGUUCUUGUUCCCUUCUUUUAUCCAUUGGUCUCUUGAACACUGUCUCCAAUAGCAUUCUUCUUGUGCUGAGAUUUCCUCAAAAUAUGAUCUGAGUCUUGUUUUUAGGAGUCUUUCAUCUAUCAUG